rnacentral:rRNA from 1 species
UACGUAGGGUGCGAGCGUUAAUCGGAAUUACUGGGCGUAAAGGGCGCGUAGGCGGCAAUUCAAGUCAGCUGUGAAAUCUCCGGGCUUAACUCGGAACGGUCAGCUGAUACUGCUUUGCUAGAGUGCAGAAGGGGCAAUCGGAAUUCUUGGUGUAGCGGUGAAAUGCGUAGAUAUCAAGAGGAACACCUGAGGUGAAGACGGGUUGCUGGGCUGACACUGACGCUGAGGCGCGAAAGCUAGGGUAGCAAACGGG